AAAACAGAAGGAAUGAAGAAAAGAAGUACAGAACCAACCAGAGAAAUUCAAGAUAAUACACGAGUAGCUAAAAAAAUUGUACUGAAAAACAAAGGUGAAGAAGAGUACCA